rnacentral:rRNA from 1 species
AUUGAACGCUGGCGGCAGGCCUAACACAUGCAAGUCGAGCGAGCGGCGGACGGGUGAGUAAUGUAUGGGGAACUGCCCGAUAGAGGGGGAUAACUACUGGAAACGGUAGCUAAUACCGCAUACUAUCAGAUGAGCCCAGAUGGGAUUAGCUUGUGGGUGGGGUAAUGGCUCACCUGGGCGACGAUCCCUAGCUGGUCUGAGAGGAUGACCAGCCACACUGGAACUGAGACACGGUCCAGACUCCUACGGGAGGGAGCAGUGGGGAAUAUUGCACAAUGGGCGCAAGCCUGAUGCAGCCAUGCCGCGUGUGUGAAGAAGGCCUUCGGGUUGUAAAGCACUUUCAGCGAGGAGGCGUUACCCGCAGAAGAAGCACCGGCUAACUCCGUGCCAGCAGCCGCGGUAAUAC